AACGCGAAGAACCUUACCGGGACUUGACAUUAUCUUGCCCGUCUAAGAAAUUAGAUCUUCUUCCUUUCGGGGAAGACAGGAUAACAGGUGGUGCAUGGUUGUCGUCAGCUCGUGUCGUGAGAUGUUGGGUUAAGUCCCACAACGAGCGCAACCCUUGUGCCUAGUUGCUAACUUGUUUUACAAGUGCACUCUAGGCAGACUGCCGCAGAUAAUGCGGAGGAAGGUGGGGAUGACGUCAAAUCAUCAUGCCCCUUACGUCCCGGGCUACACACGUGCUACAAUGGUCUGUACAGAGGGUCGCGAAAGAGCGAUCUUAAGCCAAUCCCAAAAAGCAGGCCCCAGUUCGGAUUGGAGGCUGCAACUCGCCUCCAUGAAGUAGGAAUCGCUAGUAAUCGCGGAUCAGCAUGCCGCGGUGAAUACGUUCCCGGGCCUUGUACACACCGCCCGUCACACCACGAAAGUUGGCGAUACCUGAAGUUACUAGGCUAACCCCGUAAGGGGAGGCAGGUACCGAAGGUAUGGCUAGCGAUUGGGGUGAAGUCGUAACAAGGUAACCUUAAUUAAAA
rnacentral:rRNA from 1 species